rnacentral:lncRNA from 1 species
CAGCGUGUGAGCUCACCAUCAGUGCCGAAGUUGUUUUUUGGAGGUGUGCUAAAAGGAAUUUGAAGGCCCGAACAGAACCCCACGAAAGAGCAGCAAGAACGCAACAAAUUAGCCACUGCAGUGCAUUCAACCUCACACAGCUGGCUAGUCCUUUUCCAAACUCAACAAUGAUCACCUGGAUGAUCAAAACAGCCGCUAACGCCAUCAGAAACCAAUGGCUGCGGAGGACAACAACUAGCACUUCCUUUUUUACUAUGUCCAUGGCACUGAACAAAUUAAGGACCUGGCAUAAGGUGAAAGUAUUGAAAAUCAUGGUAUUCCGGACACCUUCGUUCAUGCUCGAUACUACAUUUCCCAUGAAAUGUAAGAUCAGCAAGAUGGAAGCCUGGUACAAAACUUGAACUGCUAUGUUUCCCCAGAUGACUUUGGUUAUAAGCGACUCGGUCCUCUUAGCAGGUAUUUGAGUGUGUCGUUCAGUGCCUUGUAACUCCAUCACCAUCAUUAGGCCACCAAGAAGGCACAUGAUCAAGUUCACCCAAAUCAAGUGAACUGUUGUUAGUGGGGACUCUCCCGAAUGCAUUGUUACGACUAGGGUCACUAAUAGCCCGGAUAUGCAAGUGGUGAGUUGAAGUUGAGAGAACUGCUGAAUGUUAUGGUAAGCACAAGCACCGAACUUCAUAUUCAUGCUUAAGAAAUAUCCAUUUCUGAUUAUAAGAUCGGCGUUCUCUCUGGCCAUCUCGGUGCUCCAGAGAUCUUCUACAAUUCCUACAUCAGCUUCUUUUAAGGUCAGAGCGUCACUGCUGGUUAGCCCUCCAUAAAAUCCAACUAUGUGACCUUUUUUCUUUAACUGCUCCACCAUGAGAAACUUGUCCUUGGGGAGAGAACUUCCCAUCACAGAGAUCAAAUCCACCUUAUCCCGCAUUUCCACGGAAUUGAGCCUUCGGAAAUCUUGACCUUCAAUUUUCGUGAAAUCUGAGUCAGGGGAGAUCCUAAGCUCCAAAGCUCUAGCUCUCACUUUCGAGAGCUCAUCAUCCGACACCAGUUUGAUCCUUACUCCAGCUUCUCUAAGAGCCUCCACGUCCAAUUUAAGUUCUUCUUGAUAUGGACAUCUAAGACCGACAGGUGCCAACAAAAUCAAACCAUCUUUUGUAGGAUAUUUGGCUUCUGUUUUCUUGUACGCUUAUGCAAUCGAUCUAAGACCCUUCUUCUCCAUCUUCUCGAUCACCUGCUUGAAUUUUCUCGUCUGGUAUCCAAUAUUGUGACUUUCCCCUCUGUUAUCAUAGUAAUGUGAACACAUGCCUAGUAUUGUUGAUGCUUCUCCGUCACAGUGAAGUUGCAUAAUCUGUUCAUCAUUCUCGAUUUUCCUCAAUACAACUCCUCUAUACUUCUCAUUAGAGCUCCAUUGUUCAACAAUUUCAAAUCUUCGAUCCAAUAACUUCGCGUUACUACCCCAUAUGGUGUUCAGCCAAGAAAUGAGCCGAUCAUUUUUUGGUGACGUGGUAGCUGAAAUCCCCUGAUGGAGAGCCUCAAGAACUUGGUCAGUUUCCGAGUCCACUUCACCACUGCUUAAAUCUUUUUCGCCGAUCCGAAAUUCCUCGACCUCCGUCCGGUUGCACGUUAGAUCUACCGUUGUUUCAAUGCAGAUGAAAUUUAAGAGUCCCACGGUGACAGAAGCUGAUAGAUUCCGUGGAUCUGCUUGAUUUUUGGCUGCCUUCUCCUUCCAUUGAAAAAGGGCAACUGCAAUCACAAAAGGCAUCCCAUGUUGUAUCCCUAUUACCACAGUUGUGAGAACGCUUGCUAAGAUGGAAACUUUUCCUUGAGGUUCCAAUGAGAUCUUUUAAAAAAUCCUCAUCACAAAAUUCAUUGAAAAUAUCCCUUUCAGCUCUGGCCUUUCAUUGUAAUUUUCAUACUUCCUGAAGAAUAGUAGGCGUAUCAACAUCCCAACCCAAUCAGUAUCGAGACACCACAUGUAAGAUAAUCCAUACAAUCAUUCGGUUUGUCCAUCAAAUCUUGUAGCAGUGUCUUUUCAUUUGGAUUAUGAUCAGACAACGAGCUCAGCACCUCAGCAAAAGCUGUAUUAGCACCAAUGGAUGUCACAAUCAUGCAGCUAUGGCCCUUCACAACCUUUGAACCCGAAAAAACAAAUGGAUUUUGUUCGCAAUCAAUUUUUGGGCUCAACACCUCAUCCAGAACCAAUACCUCACCGUGAUCUAUGAACAAACCAUCAGCAGGAACACAGUCUCCUUCCUUCAAAGGAACUAUAUCACCCACCACAAUGCCAGAUAUGGUAAUCGGUGUAGGUUCUGUGCUACUUAUUUCAACAUUCACCGUCAAUUUGCUCCUAUCCAGCAAGUGUUUUGCCAGCUUUCUCUGACGGAGGUAGUUCCCCACAGAACGGAAAGCAAUAAGUAAGAACGCGGCAAUGAGUAUGGCAACACCGUCAUGCCAGCCAUCCUUGACUCCUUGAUUCAUGAAUUCGAUGGUGAACGAUAACCCAGCUGAGAGCAAGAGGAAAAAAAUUAUGUACUGAUUGAACGCCUCAAACAAAAAGUACAAGAAACCUUUGGCGUCAACAGGGGACUUGGUAAUGUUCCAUCCUUCUGGAUUUUGACCACCAUCAAUGGCACCUUCCUGAGAUCAAAUCUUGAAUAUAAUCAACUGAAGUACAAUCAUUCUCGACCAUGUACAAGAUUAUAGAAAAAGUGGUUAUUUUCUACAGGGUUGCUUGCUACCUCAAAAUGAGACCUGAGAAGUGGCAAGAUGCCAUCAACACCACCAAGUCUGCGGAGUGAGUUCAAGUCCUUCUCCCUCACUAUUUCAGUAACCUUUUUCGAAAACCAUUCCUGGAGAGGGAUGUCAAUCACAUGGUCAGAGGUAGUGGCUGGCGGCGCUGGUGCUGCUGCUAAAGGUUCAGAACUAGCUUCAAGCAAACGUCUGGUUUUCUUAAUGCGUGAUGAGAACAAAAUGCCUAGAACAACAUAUCUCAGCGAGGUUCCCAUGCGUCUGAUGGUCUGCAUAAUCAAGCCGGUAGUAAGAGUGGCACCUUCAGCAGCUUUGAUCCUCUGUAUUUAUCUCGAAGGUCGUGUUUCCUUGUGCCACAAGAAAAUUAGAGAGAUGAUCAGACAAGAAAUUGAUAAAAUUUGAUUCGUUGGCGCGAAUUUGCAGUUAAUGAGACGUUUAAAACAAGAUUGGUAAGACUCAUUCCCUUAUGUUAGAUCUUGUAAGUAAUGAGCAUAGCUAAUAGGAGGAUUAUGUACGUCUCUUUUUUUUCCUUCAUAUUCACGCUUUAUAAGCAAACAAAUUUAACUCAAGUGGCUAAAAGUUUUGCCACUCAACUACUCAGUACCAGGUCUGAUGGUAUUCCUCUUCACUUGUAAGUGAGAGAUUUUAGGUUCGAAUCUCGUGAAUGGCGAAUUCGAUACCAAAUUAAGUUGGCUUAGCCGAACUCCCUCUUCCCUUAGUAUAAAAUUAUAUCGAUGUAUUAAAAAAAAGCUAAAAGUAUUUAUUAUGUACCAAAAGUUUUUUAUCAAAAAAAUGGCAUCACAUACAGAGAUCCCUAUUUCUUUAUGUUCUUUAUUUGGUGUUUUACAUCUAGGUCCAAAAAUAGGUUGACAUGGUAGAUAGAUAAUUACACAGAUAUUAUACCUAUAAACGAGAUAUGAAAUUCAAGUACAAAAUACAAAAAUAGAAUACCUACAAGUAAGAUACAUUAAGCAUUGAUACAUGUUAAUCAUAAAUAUAAAUCUUUCAUAUAGAUAGAUUAAUACAAUUAACCAGUGAUCUAGAUUGAUUAAAAAAAAUUAUAAAUGGGAUUUGGAACAGAAGAACAAAAAAUAACGAAAAAAAAAGAAAUAAUUAAGGAGAUAAUUACAAGAAAUUAAUUUUUAUAAUAAAUCUUAUCAAUAAAUAAGAUAAUGAAAUAAUCAUAAAUUUAAGAGAUUUGACUUAUUUUAAGAAACUGGAUAAUUUUUAAUAUUGGUUGAAAAAAUUGGACAGACAAAAAUACAAAUGAGUAGCUAAGGAAGGAUAGACAGAUUCAUGUAUGUUUAUUUUGCCGUAAACAAUAUAACGGGAGUAGCGGUGGUUGCGCGCGGGAUCCAAACCGAAAAUGGAAUCCCGAAUUCCAAACCCGGAAAGGACAGAAUUUUGAAGAUUGAAAUCAAAACAAAUUUUCGAGAUUCUCAAAACUUUAUCGGGAUUUUGGUACAGGUCGGGAUAUUUUACAAUAAAUCAUAGAUUUGUGCUCAAUGUUUCAGUGAACAAAUUUAGGGUACGUUCAAUUGGAAAGUUAAGAGAUUUUAAUGAAUUUAUAAAUCUAUAAAUUUUUUAUAGAGUUUAAUUGAUUUGUAGAAAUUUUAUGUAAAAUUUUGAUUCAAUUCCCCCAAAAUCUUAUAGAAAAUCUUAUGGGAAGAGGUGAAAUUUGUGAAUGUUUAAAAUACAUUACAAAAUCUCUCAAAUUCCCUCAAAUUCCUCAAUUUUUUCAAAUUCUAAUUAAAUACACUUAAAAUGUUAUAAACUUAUUUAAAAUUUUAAUUGAAUACACACAGAUUUUUAAGUAUUUUAAUAAACUAUCUUAAAAUAUUAAUUGAAUACACAUUAAAUUUCAAAUAAUCAUCUAACAUCUUCAUUACCCUAAAUUCAUUAAAAAAAUUAAAAUGACUCAAAAUCUCAAUUGCAUACGCUCCUUAUACUUACAGCAGCUAAUAAAUGCUUCCUUAUUAAAAAAAAAUAUUUAGUUUUUCAGGGAAAAGAUUCCCAAAUUCUUGGGUUCAAUAACCCAGAAAUCUUACGGCCCUUGAAUAAAUAUAGUGAGUGAAAGAUCAAAAACUGAAAGAGAAAAAAGAAAAAAGAAAACCAAAUUAAAUAAAACCAGAAAUCCAAAUCCAUAUAUAUUAAAACCCUAGAAAUCUCCAAACCCAGAAAUCCAUACCCUAGAUUUCGGAAGCUCGAGAGCCGGUCGAUCGAGAAGGAGAGAGAAUGGGAGAGAAAGAGAGAGAGAGAGAGCAAUGUUUCAGUGUGUGCGUGUAUGGUUCGUCUGUGGUGUGGUCGAGAUAGGGUAUGGUGGCUGGCCGGAGUCGAGAUUCGAAGAAUGUGGGCGGAGGAGAGCAGAGUCGAGAUUGAGAGGGUUGAGAUGGAGUUGACAGGGUUCGAGAAUGUGCGAGUCUGUGAGAGAAAAGAAUGAUGAGAGACUGAGGCUGGUUUGGUAUCACUGUGUUUGAAAAAAAAACUAAUAAAGUAGCGAAAUGUUUAGCAAUGGUGAAAUAAAGUAGCAGAGUGUUUGGUAAAUCUUUUUGUAAAAGUGCUUUUGAAAAAAAAAGCAGUGUUAUAGUGUUGGGUAAACUUUUAUGUAAAACAGAUAUGAAAAAAAAUCAGUUUUUCAAAGCUGGGUUUUGCAAUUUGGUGUUUUUGGUUUUUUUUUCAUCUAAAACUAUGAAAAAAAGUUGAAGCUGAAUGUUUAACAAACUGUUUGGGCCCAAAAUAAUAGUUUGGGCCGAGGGUAGGAUCAUUCUCGGCCCGGGAGGCCGUGCGGCGAAAGGGCCAUGGAUCGUUCAGCUCGUGGGCUUCCAAGCCUAGGUCGGCUAGGUCAUAACGCAAAACAAGUCGAGUCCUAGUGCAAUGAGGAGUCUCGGCAGGAUUAAUAACCUGGAAGCGAAUCCGGCUCGGUUAAGGACUAGGUUCACAAUCCUAGUGAAAAUAGGACUGGUCGAGUUGGUGUUGAUCCGGAGGGAAUGACCUAGUCCGAGUAGGAUUUUAAUUCGGAUUCAAGGAAAUUCGGUGCUAUAAAUAGGGGAGGCUGUGCACAUUCAAAAGGCCCCUUGCAAAAAUCAAUACAAAAUUGCCCUGCGCAAAUUCUCACAACUUGUGAUUUUUCUUUUUUCCUUUUUCGUUGACACAUCUUCCGUUGGCAUCAACAGCACUGUGGAAGCAACCGAUGAUAUCUUAAGUCGGCAUAGAUAGCUCUGUCACCGUAGAAUCAGUCGGUCUCGCAGUAUCUUCCGUUGGCAUCAACAGCACUGCGGCGAGAACGAUUGAUUACCUAUCCAAGUCUCGGUCGAGAAGGAUUUCUGAAUCCUUGUUGGUCGAGGUCAUCUUAUUAGCCUUCUCAGCGAAGUGAGGUGUUACAAGUGAUUACAUUCGGCACGUUGAAAGCCGAAUUUGAUAUUGAACUUCGUAAAAAUAGUAACCUUGUCUUCAGGUUCGAGAGCCCAAGAGGCCGAGACGUGUUUCUUUCUCGGCCGCAAUCGCAAGACGCAGAAGUCAGCCGCGCACCCAACGCAACAUCAACAAAUUUACUCCUCGACCGAGCUCGGCCGACGAGUUGGCACGCCCCGCAAUCACCGAAGGACGUAGUUAGCUUAUAGAUUACUCGGCAUGCGCGCCACGUAGGCUUUAUAGUUUCUAGGGCCAACACAAAUACAAAAAAAUUCCCAACUUUUUUUUAUAUCUAUGUUUUUUCAUAAUCAUCUCAGUACCAAACCUGUCUUGGAGAAACUUAAGAGAGCACAUAAAUACAAUAGGAAAAUGCAUGAAUUUAACAGAAAAAAAAUGAAGUGAUGAAAGAAAUAUAAUAUAUCUAAAUUACGAGUUAAUGAUUUUUUUUUUGUCAAGUAAAAGAAUGUGAAAAUACAUUUUUGUUUUGUAUUACAACAAAAAAGUUAAGGAUAGUAACGUAAUUUUAUUUAUACCCAUCUAAUCUAUUUCUACACCCAACUUACUCUUUGCACCAAUUUGAUUUUUAACUAAACUAUUAAUAUAUCUUUAAACCCAAAUUUAAUACCAUAUAUAUUCCAAUAAACCCAAUUCAAUAUGUAGAUUUUUUUUACAUGCAUUUGAUUUUUAGAAGCUAAAUUUGAUGUGUUUAGACCUAAGUUCUUUGCAUGGUUUUCCACAACACAAAAGCUGAUAAUCCAAUUGUUACCUGCAGGAACUUAAAGAUGGUUAUUAAGAAGUGGAUCGAUGAACUUAAAGAUCAACCAUGGUCCAGAGAGAAAAAAGCAAAUGAUCAACCUGCUUUUAAAUGGGCAUUAGACAACAAACUCGUUAACAAAAUCCAAGAUCAAUAUUUGUUUCCAUAGAAGCUCUGUAUCAAUGCUCGCAGGAAAUGCUUCCUUAUGAAUUCGUGUGACCUUCGAGCCCGGUGGGUUUUCGUAAUAGACUUGAAAAGGGAAGGAAAUGUGGUUUUCGCUUUAGAACCGCAAGAAAGGAACAUAGAGUUUGACUUCUCUCAGUUGUUUGCUAAUUCAACCAGUUAAUAGGUCCUUUCACACCGGACAUUGUUCAUCGUUGGAUGCUUUCAUUGUAUGUGUUGAAAAAAAUUACAGUAAAUAACUUCUACUAUCUAAAAAAUUGAAAUCAAAUGAACAAAAUAUUCAUAAAUUGAGUUAUACCUUGGUUGGAGGAUUCAAAACUUCAAAAUCACUAUCCAUCAAUAAAAAAACUUAAUUUUCUCUAUAAAAGUUAUUAGGGUUUUAGCCAGAAUAAACGUAGGUAAACAAAGAGUGAUCGUAUGGUUUAAUUAUAGUGUUUGGGUUUAUUGAUAAAUUUGAGUUUUAUUAUUAAUUUCAUUUUGUACUUAAUAGUAAUUAUGUAAUAGGGUAAAAUAGACAAUGAAUAUUUAAAAUUUAAGUUGGGUGUAAAAAGAGGUUAAAUGGGUUUAAAUAAAAUUUCUCAUAAAAUUUUGCUUUUUUUUAUUUAAGCCUCAUUACAAGUGAUUGUAUCAUGUCUAAUUAAAAAAAUAAAAUAAAAUAAACCUCUCCCUCCCUCCCCACUCCACGUUCUCUCUCACUUUCUUCCUCUCUGCUUCAAGUUUAAAAACAAAGUAAAAUAUUUCACACACACUUUGUGUGUGGGCAUGUACUAGUAUAUAUGUAUAAAAGAAGCAUGCAUUUAUUUUUUAAGUUGCAUCUCAUAAAUCAUUUUUAUAAAAUAUUAGCCAAAUCGAAAAUAUUUGAAGCAUCUAAUUGAGUUCAAAGAAAUUAAUGAAUACUUUUUUCUAAAACAUAUUAAAAUUUUAUCGUGAUAAUUAAAUAGACAAACGGUUUUGGGGUGAAUUGAAUUUUACAAGAAUGAUAUAUGAAUUGAAACAUACAAAAUAAAUGAUUCAUAUCAUUGAGGUUCUGACACACCCCGUCCCGAAGGAGGGCAUGCUGGCCAUCACGUGAGAGUGACGUAACCAUUUACACAGUUCGGAAGCUUUUAAAAUACAAUUACUAAAAUGGAAACCCCCGAGGGUGAGUCCUACUUUUGUGAAUUCUGUCAGAACGCCGUUGGGUUCCUCGUGGCCACCAAAGCUCUGCUAACUUGAACCUGGAGGGGCGCAAAACAAAAUUGAGUAGGUCAGUAAAACAAAGUUUCUCGAAAACUUUUCAUUUAAAACAUUUCUAACCCCUCGCUGUAAAACCUGUAUACUUUCCUAGAAAAUAGUAUAUAUAUAAUCAUAUAUAAUCUCAAAUCUCAAAUCACAAGUCUUUAACACUUUUCGAGAAAAAUAUGCCAUGCCAUGCCAAAAUAUAAUAUGAAUGCAUCAAUAUGAAUCAGGUGAAAUAAUAAAUCAACCGGAGACCCUAUAAUGGUCCUGUACGGCUGAUUCUAUAGCUCAAUAUCCCAUCCAGCCGGAGUCACCACAGUGACCUGUACGGCUCAACUCUGCACGUCACUCGGAACUACAUAUAGUAGUCUGUACGAUGACAGGUGUACAAAUACGCUCUAGUGCUUCUCUCAUCAAUCAUCAGCGCGCAUAACUAAGGUCACCCACUAGUUGGAAUCACAUCUAGUGAUCUGUACGGCUAGCAUGUCGGAACCCUCACAUGGUCUGUACGACAUCCACCUACUUGGAUCCAAGACGAGCGUGCGGUGUGGUGAAUAGCAAUAUAAGCACUAACACCUAGGUGCAGGUUAUGAGUUUUCAAUGCAAUUCAUAAUAAAUAACUCAGUUGAUAAAUAAUAACACUCACCUGAGCGUCCACCGCGUCAGUCCACACAUAUAUAUAUAUCAAUUAUCAAACUAGACAUCUCAAUAAUUGCACGCAUGGUAAUUAAUUUCAUAAUUUUCAUAUAAACUAUUUUCUGGGAAAAACAGUUGUAUAUAGGUAAUAUGAAAUCAAAACUGCCCACUCACCUGGAGUUCACCCUACAACUCCCUAGCACAAUACGUCAAGGCGUCAUGACAAUCGGCGCCUAAAACAAUAAUCAAAUCCAACCUCAGAAUUCAUAUCGAUAGAAUAUAUAACUUAUAUAAAAUACGUCACUACGUAGUUUGUUCCGGAAGCUCUGCAACUCAGAUUUUAAAUCCAUAACUUCCAGAGGUCCACAAUAUAUCUCUAGGACAACAUCCUAAAAUUUCAUUACUAUCCAACGGUCGGAUCGUCAAUUCACAUUUUCGCCUAACCACGAAUCGUAACCAACUCAGGUUCAAUUACUCAAUAACCUCUCAUACGGUGCUCAAUUUGGGUAUAUGAAUAUAUCACAGUGGCCUACUCAACGUCACGAAUGUCGACAAAUUUUUAGAAUUAAUUUUGGACCUCCCACGCUCCGGCCAAGGCACGGCAAAACGCACCAGCCACGCGGCCACGUGCGACGGAGCAGUAACGGCGUCAGGAAUAUUCCUUGGAAUAUUCCGUUAAAUUCUAACGGACGCCGUUAAAUCUGACUGACGGCGUGAGAAUAUUCCGUCAGACUUGACGGAAUAUUCUCCCGUUUCCUUCCUCCAGCUCCAGCGACCGUCGCCGGCGCAGGAAACUGGGCAGAGUUUCAAAUCCCUUAUUCUCCUUCGUUUCUCAACCAAAUUUCAUGAAAUUGAUACCAAAAUGAAGCUAAUAACAUGUAGAAUCACGUUAUACAAAUUUUAAAGCUUAAAUUCCACUAGAUUUUUCAUGAGAAAGGUCGAUAGCUCGACUUACCUAUAAACUCGUCGUUCUAAGUCCUCCGACAUCCAAAUCUUUCCAACGAAGUACUCCUAGACUCGUGAGGACUCUCUUAAGCUUCCUACAAGCUUGAAAUUUCCAAAAACACAAGUUUUAACGUUCGCAUGAAUAGUACCCCCAAAUCGGGUAUACUGUUUCAACGCGAAAACGAAGCUAUCCUUACCUGAAAAUGGUAUGGUUGAGUUCGUAGAGUCCUCACAAGCACGAUGGUGCCUUCAAAACCCUCGAUCCAUGAAGUUUCAGGGUUUUAUGGUGUUGGUCCGUACGUUCGAGGGAGAGAGAGACUGAACGGAGAGGAAGAGAGAGAAACACGGGGAAGAGAGAGAGAAGGGUUGACUGGGUGUGUGGUCCAACCAAAACCAUACAUACUAAUUUUAAUCCCUAACCACACAAAAUACAAUCCAAUUUAAUCCAACUUAAAUUAUUUUCUCCAAAAGUUUAGGAAUGUAUAUUUAGUCCAAAUAAUAUAUCAUACACACACAUACCUUAAUACCCGUCAAGGGUAAUUCCGUCUUUUCACAUCCUCGAUGAAUAAAAUUCCUGGACGGGCUGUGAGAAGUACGUCCCUGGCCUGGCUGACUAGGCUGCCUAGAUGAUCAUGCACCACCAGUAGCAACUUCCCCCUGACGGGGCUGACCUCCCUGAUGCCACUAAGAUCCACCAGCUGGCAUAGACGAAUAAGAAUGAUAACCUCCAAAGUCCUGAGAAUACCCUGCCUGAGGAUAAGGCUCAUGGGGAUACUGAUAAGGUUCGGGAGCAUACGGAGCAGCAUCCCCCUGGUAGUGGUAGGCACCACCACGGCCUGACUGGCCAUAACCGCCUGGUCCAAAGUUCUGCUGAAUCGGCGCUGGAGGUGGCAUAGUGGUCUGUUGCGGUCUCUGCUGACCCUGGGGACACUGAGAAGCCCGAUGUCCCAUUUGUCCACAAGUAAAACAAGCACCACCACCUCUCCUACACUCAUCAUGGUGACGAAAGUUACAACAGCGGCACCACGGAGCGCCAGAACCACCAGCACCACCAGAAUCCCUCUGCCUCUGAAAUCUAGGCCCACUAGAAAAUCUACCACCACCUCUCCUCGGGCCAGUAACGCUAUAACCACCACUAGAAGAACUCGAACUCACCCCACUCUUCUUAAAAUUCUGAGUCUUACGAGGUCCCGGAAAAGAGAUACCCUUACCUUUAUCAUCCUUCUUCUGACCGUCAUUCUUGUCCUCGUCAUCCUCACUUUCACUGGGAAGAUUAUCAGAGUCCUCCAUCCUAACCAAAAUCUCGAAAAACUCAUGGUAAUCAGCGCAGGAAAGUGCACUGGCAAAGGUACGCCACUUUUUCUUAGAUCCCAACUUGAAACGUCGAAGUAUCUCUCCCUGAUUACUAGCUGUAUCAGGGUCAUAGCGAGACAAAUCAGUAAACAUUCUGUAGUACUCAUGAGCUGUCAUAUUCUUCUGUUUCAACCGAGUAAAUUCUUGUUUCUUGCGGUCAAUAUACUCUGGGGGGACAAAUCUUUUCUUAAAAUUAUCUUUAAAUACCUCCCAAUCAGAUGUCAUAGCUGGGGACAUAAACUGAGUCUGAUUCCUCCACCAACUUGCCGGCUCUCGACCCAAAAACCAGGUAGUGGUCUCAACCCACCUAUCAGCCGGAAAAUUCCCCUGACUUUGCAUUACCUGAAACGUCUUUUCAAUAUGAUCUAGCCAUUUCUCUGCCCCCUCGUGACCUUCAUCACCCAUAAAAUGAUCUAAUUUCAAAUUGUACAUGGUCUCCAGGGGUGUCCUCUGAGGUGGGGGAGGAGGACGAAUCACAUUCUGAAAAGCCUGAGCCAUUGCUUCCCCCAACUGAAUGAUAUUCGGGAAAUUAGGAUCAGGAGUACGGCGGGACUCCCUACGCUCUCUACGAGGCGGCAUAAUUCUGACAGAAAACAUCAAAAGAUCAUUAAAGCAUUAACAAUUAUACAUGACUGCAACCUAGUCUCUGAUACCAAACUAACACACCUCGAUCCGGAGGAUCCAGGCGUGCUGGCCGUCACGUGAGCGUGACGUAACCAUAAGUGCGACACGGAAGCAAAACAAUAACAUACAUAAGAAGGAAUUCAAACCAAACUCUAGCAGAACAACCUACUAGAAUUACAGGAGGAGCUAAGAUAAACACAUAAAUUCAGAGCAUAGGUUUAGGUGCAGUCAAGUAGGACUAAAAUAAAAGUACAUCACCCUCAGGUGAGUCCUACAUGUCAAGUGUCUGUCAGAAUGCCGGAAAAAGACCUCGAGAGCCACCAACCGCUAACUAGAACCUGGAGGGGCGCAAAACAAAAUGAGUGGGUCAGUAAAACCAAAGAUUUUCCAAAACAUUUCAAAUUAAAACAUUUCUAACCCCUCACCGUAAAAACCUGUAUACUUUCCCAGAAAAUAGUAUAAAAACAUAUAUAUAUAUAUACGCAACAUCGAGACUCGGCUCAUAUCCCAUCAUAACAUCUUAGAAAUGAUAUGCCAUACCCAAAAUAUAAUCAGAAUGCAUCAAUACUAAUCAGGUGAAAUAAAUAAUCAACCGGAGACCCUACAAUGGUCCUGUACGGCUGAUUCUAAAGCUCAACAUCCCACUCAGCCGGAGUCACCACAGUGACCUAUACGGCCCAACUCUGCACAUCACUCGGAACUACAUAUAGUAGUCUGUACGAUGAAAGGUGUAUAAAUACGCUCUAGUACUUCUCUCAUCAAUCAUCAGCGCGCAUAACUAAGGUCACCCACUAGUCGGAAUCACAUCUGGUGAUCUGUACGACUAGCAUGUCGGAACCCUCACAUGGUUUGUACGACAUCCACCUACUUGGAUCCAAGACGAGCGUGCGGUCUGGUGAAUAACAAUAUAAGCACUAACACCUAGGUGCAGGUUAUGAGCUUUCAAUGCAAUACAUAUAAAAUAACUCAUCUGAAUAAUAAUAAAACUCACCUGUGCGUCCACAGCGUCAAUCCACAUAUAUAAGUAUCAAUUAUCAAACUAGAUAUCUCAACAAUUGCAUGCAUGGCAAAUUAAUUCAUAGUUUUCAUAAAAACGCAUUUUCUGGGAAAAACAGUUGUAUAUAGGUAAUACGAAAUCAACACUGCCCACUCACUGAUAAGUCGAUGGGUCGUAACCCCCGUGACAUCCCUGGAUGCGCUCGUCCUCGGGAUAUAUGCGAAACAACUAUAAAAACGUUAAUUUAAACACAUAACCAAUAAUUCGAUUUAACUUCUCAUAUGAUGCUCAAAUUGGGCAUAUGAAUAUACCAUAUCGACCUACUCGACAUCACGGACGUCAAGAAAUUUUUAGAAAAAUUUUUAGGCUUGCCACGCGCCCCCACGCGCCGUGGGUGGCACGGGUCCACGCGCCCCCACGCGCACCUUUUUCCUCAGCCAGUCGCCGGACUGGUUUUUCCGGCGGCCGAUUUCCGGCCAAACUUUGAACGCUUUGUUCUCCUUCGUUUCUCAACCAUUUUCUUCGUAUUUUAUACCAAAAUGAAGCCCCAAACAUGUAGAAUCACGAUAGACUAGUUUAAGGCUCUAAAAAUCAAGAAAUCUCACCGGAAAAAUUCCAAGAAAAUCAGCCAAAGUUGAACCACGUGAUCCCGACGUCCAAAACCUUCAAACGAAGCACUCCGAGCUUCCUUGGGACCUCACUAAGCUCACUACAAGCUUAGAAUUCCCUGAAAAUCAACAUAUUACGUUUGCAUGAACAAUGACAAAAAAUGAAGGUUCGGGUUUCACGUGAUUUUGAGGGUUUCACUUCCUAAAACUAGUACUAUUCAACUCAGAACGUCAAAAGGAUGAAGAACCAUACCUUAAUAGCUUCGAUCCACUGAGUUUUGGAGGGUUUUGGGUGAGGCCGUACGUUCAAGGGUAAGAGAGAGCGAGAGAGUCGGGACGGGGGAGAGAGAGAGGCACGGGGAAGAGGGAGGUAGCAGGGGGGUGUAUGUGUGGUCCAAGAUCAAAUCCACACCAUCCAAAACCUUUCCUAAUUCCCUAACCACACAUAACAAAAAUCAAAUUAUUAAUCCAACUUAUCUUAUAAAUUUUUCUUCCCAAGCUUGUCUCAUAUUUGAACCAAAUAACGUCACACACAUACGUACCUUAAUACCCGCUAAGGGUAAUCCCGUCAUUUCACAUUCCCGUCAAAUGUACCUCCGGGACGGGCUGUGACAGUAAGAACUCUUACUCAUCUUUUUAAGUAACCAAAUUUUGUUCUUCUACCAUUCAACAACACAUUAUGUUACCUCAUUAGUAACCGCUAAUAAAACGCCAUUGUUUAUAUUUUUGUUCUUGGGACGUCAAGUAAAUAACAAAGUUUCCUAUUCUAUUCUUUGUAAAAGUAAAAUGAGUAGACGUGGCAGGCAAAUGGUGCUAGGUAUGGGCAACGGUGAUGACAGACGGGUAAUCACGGUUAUUUACCUAUAACUAUUUAUAAACGGUUAAUUACAUCCAUAAUCGCGUACCCAUUUAACUAUAACUGUUUACCCAUCUUAUUUAUGCCUCUUUUUACUUGUUUACAUGUUUUUUAAUAACUUGAAAAUUAAAAAAGAAAAAAAAUUUCAUAACUGACAAAGAAACUCUAGCAUAUAAAUUGGAUUAGAGCGUGAGAAAUUAAACUUUCAUUUCAAUUGGGCAUGAAGCUCUAACCAAGAAUAAUAAAAUAUUAACAAAAACUAAACAAAAGUAGUUUUAUGCCGAGAAUCGAAGGGUAUUGGAGAAGGAAGAAGAUUAAGAAGAAGAAGAAGGAAGGAAUUUGCAGAGAGUUUUCCUUCAUUUCAUUUGCAAUCAUAAUCUUGCUGAUUAUGCAUCUUUGUAAAGUCAAUACAAAGCAUCCAAAAUCACCAAUUCUGAUUAAAAAUCAAACAAUAUCCUAAAAAAUUGAAUUCAGUCAACACAACCCAUAAAAAUAAGAGAUUUUUAUAUAUUGUUUCAUAUAAAAAAAAAUAUAUAUAUAUAUAUAUAUAUUAAAAUAAACAGGUAUCCGUUAUAACUGCAGUUAAUACCUAUAAUUAUCAAUUUAAUUUUACAAGUAAACGAUUAUAUCCAUAAUCGUUUAUUUAUCUAAACGAUUACCUAUACCUACUAUAACUGCAGGUAUUUUGCCUGCCUGUCCCUAGAAGCUGCAAUGUUUGUGGUUGGUGAACACAAGCCACAAGUUGACCAAAAGACAAAUACUUGACAGGUCCACGACAAUGUAUAAUGGAAAAUGAUCCUUGCCGGAUUUUUUUUUAGGAGAUUUUGAGGAUUUCAUGAUGGUGAUCGUUCAUCGUAUAUCGUUUUGUCAGUUUUUGUUAAAUACUAUUUAUAUUUAAUUUAAAAUUUAAAAUUUAAAAUAAUUUAUGAUCGCACAAUAUUCGAUAAACAAUCACGAUGACAGAAUCGCAGAUCCCCAAGAAAAGGAUCCUUCAAUUUAUAAUAUACGUUAUGGAAUGUAAAAGGCGAAUGUGGUCCACUUAAAAAGGAAAUGUGUCGUCGGACUCUUUGAACUCUUUAUUCCUUGCUGUAAACCAGUUUGUAAUGCUGCAGUAGUUUUUGACAAAACAGUAAAAAUAAUAGCAGGCCAGAAGUAGGUUGCAGUGGAAGAAGAGCAUUCAAAUUUACUUGACCUAUGUACCUCAAAUGGUUAAAGGGGUUUACUUUACACCUGUGGUCCUGUGUUCGAAUUCACCCUCACUAAUAUCGCUUGUAUCAAAAAACAACAUAUGAUCUGAUGAACUGCAAGCAUUCUGGUCGAUCGAAUCGAAGGUUGAUAAAACCCUAAGCAACCGAACUAGUAAAUUAGAAGUGACACAGGGGAGCAGCAUGCGAAGAGAGUAAGAAUUUGCUAUACCUUUGAUAUACAGAAUCAACUAUUACAUAGUGGAGAUGGCAGACAUGGUUUAUUUACUGUAUUUAGUAUUUGCAUAUUAACGGAUAUACAGCGCGAGUGGAGAAAUUUCCGGGCGGAUACAGUAUAAUGAUACAGAGAAGAUGAGGAACAACCAAGUGGGAACAUAAAACCAAAUGGGAAUGUAUAAUCUGCGAUGCCGAUGUGAGAAUCCAACGUGUGAGCUCACCAUCAAUGCCGAAGUUGUUCUUGGAGGUAUGCUGAAAGGAAUUUGAAGGCCCGAACAGAACCCCACGAAAGUGCUGCAAGAGCGCAACAGAUUAGCCACUGCAAUGCAUUCAACCUCACACAGCUGGCUAGUCCUUUUCCAAACUCAACAAUGAUCACCUGGAUGAUCAAAACAACCGCCAACGCUAUCAGAAACCAAUGGCUUCGGAGGACAACAACUAGCACUUCCUUUUUUAAUAUGUCCAUGGUAUUGAACAUAUUAAGGACCUGGCAUAAGGUGAAAGUAUUGAAAAUCAUGGUAUUCCGGACGCCUUCGUUCAUGCUCGGUACUGUGUUUCCCAUGCAAUGUAAGAUCAGCAAGACGGAAGCCUGAUAUGAAACCUGAAUCGCUAUUUUUCUCCAGAUGACUUUGGUUAUAAGCGACUCAGUCCUCUUAGCAGGCCUUUGAGUGUGUCGUUCGGUACCUUGUAACUCCAUCGCCAUCAUUGGGCCACCAAGAAGGCACAUUAUCAAGUUCACCCAAAUCAAGUGAACUGCUGUUAGCGGGGACUCUCCCAAAUGCAUCGUUGCGACUAGGGUUACUAGUAACCCCGAUAUGCAAGCGGUGAGCUGAAGUUGAGAGAAUUGCUG